CUCUCGGUUGUGAGAUUUUUUUCCAAGUUAUGGUUUCUCUUCUCUAGGUUGCUCUCCUAUGGCAUGCUUUGUUUCAGUUUAGUUAGAACACUAGCGCGUGUACUCCAAGAGCCCAACCACAUACGUACUCAAGCACACACACAACCAGCUUGAUUGAUUUCUUUUCUUUAUAUAUACUAGCAGCAGUAUGUCAGGAACCCUCCAUGGAUGAGGACGACCACCGGGACCUCCACAGCGACGUCGACGCCCCGCACAUGGUUGAGCUGGACGGAAAAACGGUGCCUUAGUCGCUCGCCGUGAUCGCGGUCGUCUGCGCUGGUGUGGUGCAGCCGAACUGGCUCAGCAACCACGUCGUGUACAAGGGCCAACUCCACUACGGCUCCUCAAGCAAGAAGAAGUGCCAUCACUGGUAUGAAACUCAUGCCAGGGGAAGGGAUUCCAUCACUGCCUUUUGAUCCGCAAGUGUAAUCUCCAUUGAGGAUCGUCCAUGUUCGGCAUUCAUCAACACAAUGCCAUCUUCAGUGCCCUCUCUAGGCCCUCACUCUGAAUUAUUUCGGUUUUAAGCAAGGGAACAAUCUAUAUGCAUCUAAACAUUUUUUUCCAAGUUAUUGCUGCUCUGCUAUGACAAUGUUUCUAGCUCUUGUUCAUAGUGUUGGAGUUUACGUAGUCUCGAUGUUCACUGAAUAAUAUGAAAGGAUUAGUUGAUGCUAUAUAUAGCAAAAUUUCUACACACUUGCAUCAGUUUGUAGAUAUUUCCAGUUAAAAGAUUGUGCUCUGCUCUGGUCUGAGCUAGGCAUUCUAUUUCUCUGUAAAAAAAAUUGCUUGCUCUGUUUGUCAACCAUUGCUUUUUUAUUUUUUGUUCGUUUUGGAUGCAGUAGGUGCCCUCCUUCCAUGGACGAGGAGGACAUUGACCUGGACCUUGACGGCGACGUCGUCCAGCCCACACAAGAUCUCUAUGCUGCUGUUGGUGGUGGCUGGUGAGGCGAUGCUGGAAAGCAUGGAGGCGUUGUCGAUGAAUAAGAGAAAAAGAAGAGGACACACCGUACAGCUGCUCACCUCGAUGGCUUGACCACCUCUGAUGGGCCGCCGAUGACACAUGGGGAGGCCGAGGUGAACAGGCUUGCGUGGGCAGAGGACCAGCGAUGGGGUCAACGGUGCUCACCCCGACCCCCCUUGGGAUCUAGGGGAAGGGGCUAUGGCGGCGGCGGCACCGGGAGAGGCGGCGGUGCUCGGAGAGGAGGCACAUACUUUAUUUCUACUUCUACUUUUCUUUUGCACAUGUAGUUUGGAUGCUUUAUCUGCUCGUGGAGCUAUGCUUCUGUUGCAUUGGGCUAAGGUUUGAUUGCUUGAAUGUGUAUGUCAAGGUGUAAGUGCAGACUCGUUGUUGAUGUUGAAUACUGGAGCAAGAAUGAUGAUCAAUGCUCUAAUGAACCUGCAUGAUGUAGCAUUACUAUUAAGAUAUAGGGUUAGGCACAUACCUUUUUUGACAAUGGGUACUCAUAAUGGGUAGACAAGUGUGGUUUUCAGGUGUAGUUGCCUAUUGGUUUAUUUAGUCUUCCUAUGUCGAUAUCUCUUUUACUGUAAAGCAGAGGCUGAUUGCUCGUGGCAGCGCUGGAUCUGGUGGCCAGCCGUCGCCGUUGCCUGUCCUCUUUGACGCGAGAGCACAUGGAGAAGUGGCUUGUGGCAGCGCUGGAUCCGGUGGGCAGACCUUGCCGUUGCCUGUCCUCUUCGACGUGAGGCUUGCAGGUCGCCCGCUUCGUGGAGCUUGACGAGGUCUCGGUCAGUCCGCAACAUACUUGCAGUCCAGGUCCUUGACAUAUUCGGGUUCACAGAAACAAAAAUUAGAGUUAAUUGAUCUGCCUCAACAAUUUCCUGCAUUAGAUAUCUUUUUGUGCUUAGUUUUUUUUGUGAAUUCUACAUUUUGUAGCUGAUGUUUUCAAACUGAUAAUAUUUUCGUAAGUUCGGGUUGGCACUUGGCUUUAUCAAAACUAGAAUAUAGAAUAUGUGUUGGAGAAGUGCCUA